rnacentral:rRNA from 1 species
CACGGGGGGAGCAAGCGUUGUUCGGAUUCAUUGGGCGUAAAGGGCCCGUAGGUGGCUUUGUAAGUCGGAGGUGAAAUCCCACGGCUCAACCGUGGACACGCCUUCGAAACUGAGAAGCUUGAGUCUGGGAGAGGAGAUCGGAAUUCCUGGUGUAGCGGUGAAAUGCGUAGAUAUCAGGAGGAACACCGGUGGCGAAGGCGGAUCUCUGGACCAGUUCUGACACUGAUGAGCGAAAGCCAGGGGAGCAAACAGG